rnacentral:rRNA from 1 species
UACGUAGGGUGCAAGCGUUAAUCGGAAUUACUGGGCGUAAAGCGUGCGCAGGCGGCUUGCAAGACAGAUGUGAAUCCCCGGCUCAACCUGGGAACUGCAUUUGUGACUGCAUGGCUUGAGUGCGGCAGAGGGGAUGGAAUUCCGCGUGUAGCAGUGAAUGCGUAGAUAUGCGGAGAACACCGAUGGCGAGGCAAUCCCUGGGCCUGCACUGACGCUCAUGCACGAAAGCGUGGGAGCAAACAGG